rnacentral:lncRNA from 1 species
AAAAAACACAUUAUUUGAAUCAAAUUGAAAGGAAAGCUUCAGUAGUUCUUCACUUACCUAGUGUGACUCAAUUUAUCGAUUUACGCUUGGGAGUCAAACAUCUCAAUUCUCCCCAAUUGAUCCAACACCUCUUGUCAAUUAAGUUAACUAAGUUUAAAUUAUUGUAAUAAUCUUGGCACAAGCGCAUGUAUUUUCUAUAGUGCCAAACCAUAUGGGCCUGAUCAAGGUUAAACUAGAGCGUUGUGGACAAAGCACUGAUGUAGUUCAUUCAAAAAAACAUGAUUUUGCCACAAAAAGAAAUCGUACGAGGUUACGUAAAGAGCAAUGGGAUUUUGCGAUUCUAAGGGACUACGGUGCAAUAUUCUCCAAGAGUAUUAUACGGAGUAUUCCCUACCCCCGGGUAUGUUAAGGCUAAGCUCUUCUUUCAUUUGGCAUGAUCUCGUCAUUACAUUCAUAUCCCGUAAUUUACGUAUAUUUUGCUAGUCUCGCAAAUUACGUAUAUUUUCCUAGUGUUGUAAAGUUAUAAUAUUCUCCUUAUCGGGACUUCAUAUUCAGUCGAGUGUUUCCUUCUUCCAGUCAAGAGAGCAGAGAAGUUUAUUUAUACAGUAUUAAAAGUAUUUUCAUUACCAUCGAGCUAUAAUCGAUGGGCAGGCCCCUAUUGGGCAACCUCUGAUUAGAUGGUAAGUUAUAUACCGAGCCUACUGUGGCCGAAUGCAUAUGAGUGAGCCCAGUUGGUCGAGAUACAGAGCCUAGUAUGGCCGAGCGCUUAUGAGCGAGCCUACUACGACAGAUCAGUUAUAUAUAUACCGAGCUUACUGUGGACAAGCGCUUAUGAGCGGAGCCCAGUUGGUCGCGAUACAGAGCCUAGUAUGGCCGAGCACUUAUGAGCGAGCCUACUACGAUAGAGCAGUUAUAUAUAUAUAAAUACCGAGCCUUAUAGUGUUGGAGAUCUAUUUUACUUACUAUAUUGAGAGAAUUGAGUCAGUAUCAGCAGGUAAGCAUAUCUUUAGAUUAUCUUUGACUUCCAACUACUUGCAGUUAUUAUAUUAUGAGGUCAGUUUCAGAUUUCAGUAUAUUGCCUUACAUACUCAGUACAUUAUUUCGUACUGACGUCCCUUUUCUGGGGGCACUGCAUUUCAUGCAUGCAGGUCAGACAGAUAAACGAGUAGGCCUCUUCAAUAAGUGUUGCCCGAGUUCAGUUUGAUCGGUAAGCUCCAUGCCUUUCAGAGAUUCCGGGUCUAGAG